rnacentral:rRNA from 1 species
CGCAAGUCGAACGAGAUUUUCCGUUGUAGCAAUACGAUGGAAAGUCUAGUGGCGAACGGGUGCUUAACACGUGGGCAACCUGCCGAGAAGUGGGGGAUAGCUCGCCGAAAGGCGAAUUAAUACCGCAUGUGAUUAGAGUGGACAUCCAUUCGAAAUUAAAGUCGGGGCAACCUGACGCUUCUUGUGGGGCCCGCGGCCUAUCAGCUAGUUGGUGAGGUAACGGCUCACCAAGGCUUUGACGGGUAGCUGGUCUGAGAGGACGACCAGCCACACUGGGACUGAGACACGGCCCAGACACCUACGGGUGGCAGCAGUCGAGAAUUUUUGACAAUGGGGGAACACCUGAUCGAGCGACGCCGCGUGGAGGAUGAACGUCUUCGGAUCGUAAACUCCUGUCAUUGGGGAACAGUGCGUGACGCUUAACUG